UACGAAGGAUCCAAGCGUUAUCCGGAUUCAUUGGGUUUAAAGGGUGCGUAGGCGGUUUUGUAAGUCAGUGGUGAAAUCUCUUUGCUUAACAAAGAAACUGCCAUUGAUACUGCAGAACUAGAGUACAGAUGACGUUGGCGGAAUGUGUCAUGUAGCGGUGAAAUGCAUAGAUAUGACACAGAACACCGAUUGCGAAGGCAGCUGACGAAACUGCAACUGACGCUGAUGCACGAAAGCGUGGGGAUCAAACAGG
rnacentral:rRNA from 1 species